UCCUCCUGGAAGGCAAGAAGAGUUGUUAGU
rnacentral:piRNA from 1 species